rnacentral:rRNA from 1 species
GAGUGAGGGCCCUCUGGGUCCAACCUCCCACCCGUGUUUAUUUACCUUAUUGCUUCGGCGGGCCCGCCUUAACUGGCCGCCGGGGGGUUUACACCCCCGGGCCCGCGCCCGCCGAAGACACCCCGAACUCUGUCUGAAGAAUGCAGUCUGAGAACAAAUAUAAAUUAUUUAAAACUUUCAACAACGGAUCUCUUGGUUCCGGCAUCGAUGAAGAACGCAGCGAAAUGCGAUACGUAAUGUGAAUUGCAAAUUCAGUGAAUCMUCGAGUCUUUGAACGCACAUUGCGCCCCCUGGUAUUCCGGRGGGCAUGCCUGUCCGAGCGUCAUUGCUGCCCUCAAGCCCGGCUUGUGUGUUGGGYCYCGUCCUCCGAUCUCYGGRGGACGGGCCCGAAAGGCAGCGGCGGCACCGCGUCCGGUCCUCGAGCGUAUGGGGCUUUGUCACCCGCUCUGUAGGCCCGGCCGGCGCUUGCCGAUCAACCCAAAUUUUUAUCCAGGUUGACCUCGGAUCAGGUAGGGAUACCCGCUGAACUUAAGCAUAUCAAUAA